UCUGACCCCUCUUUCCCCCCCCCCCAGCUGGCAAAUCCACCUUCCUGAAGACUCACAUCAUCCCCGCGGGUUACGCCUACGUCAACCGGGACACGCUGGGCUCGUGGCAGCGCUGCGUGGCCGCCACUGAAAGCGCCCUGAGCCGCGGCCGCAGCGUCGCCGUGGACAACACCAACCCCGACCCCGAGUCCAGGCAGAGGUACAUCGCGUGCGCGCAGGCGGCCGCCGUGCCGUGCCGCUGCCUGCUGUUCACCGCAUCCCUGGAGCAGGCGAAG